rnacentral:lncRNA from 1 species
GCUGGUUUCCUGUCAUCCGGAGCAGCUUUCAUAAAAUCGCAAGGUAUACAGUAACAGAGUUAGGAGCUAAAAGUGCCUUUUUGUCGACCGAGCCCAGCACUCCCACGUCGGCGCAGGCCAGGACCCCGUGACCUUGUUUCCGCUGCCACUGGCCCUGAGCUGGCAGGGCAGCAGGGUCCACCCACUACGCCCUUCUCCCUUCCCAGCACUCAGAGCCCAGCCGUGACCAGCUGAUGUACGAUGGGCGUCAGGAGAGCCGGGCUAACAGACUGUUUAGCCGGCCUAUAAAAUCCAUGCUCUACUUUCUCUGCAUUACUUGGUGCUGGUGACUCCCCAGUCCCUCAAGGUGUAACCCUGCUUCUCUAGUUGGCCCACUGGACACCACUCUGGAUGCCAUUCUGCCACUUCACAUGUUUUGAAAAGGUUUAACUCACCUGGCCCCGUCAGACAAAGAAAACACUUUACAACGUUUGAGGAUCCUUAAUCCAAAAAUGUGAAAUCCAAAAAGCUCCAAAGUCUGAAACUUCCUGAGCACUGACAUGAAAACACGCGUCCAGGAUUCCCCAUCUGACUUCACGAGAUGGUUGGCAAUAAAAUGCAGGCUGGUAAAAUUGCUGUGCUGUAUGAAAUCACCUCCAGGCUGUGGGAGUAAGGUAUGUACGACAUAAAUGAAUUUCAUCCUCAGGCUUCAAUUCCAUCUCCAAAACAUCUCACUACAUAUGCGGAAAUUUUCUGAACCCUCAAACCCCACAAACCACACAGGUCCGGCCCUCCAGCACGGUGACCCUGUCCUCAUGUGCAGUCGUGUGCUGUUCCCUCAUUUGACUGGUUCCAUGGAGCAAAGGCGCACCAGAAGAAUGCAAGCACCUCCAUACAGGUCAACUUCAUUCUGGCAAGAAAUUCCAGCCAUAAUUCUAACAUGAAACGUGCUGCACCAGGCAAUCAUGAAAUAAUUUCUACCUGUUAUUAAUACAAAGAAAGAGCUUUUCUAUACAGCUCUGCUAUCCUGGACCCGAUAAUCCUUUGAAAUUCUAUUUUACUAUUUAAAAUGCUGCAUGAGAACAAAGCACAGUAGAUUCAUUCUUAUAAAACUUGCUCUCCAAAUAGUUGUGUGGUAUGCUAGGGAAAAACCCAGAAAACAAAGCCAAAUGAGUGACCCGUAGGAUACAGAGGGAACAUGAAACGGAAGACCACCACAGAUAUAAAUGCUAGAUACAAACUAUGAAACAGGAGUUUGUUUAGCAGUGAGAGAACUUUCUGAUAGUGAAAAUUCAGCUGGAAAAAAGGUAAAAGCAGAUGGAAGGAGAUACACAGUACUGCAGUGUGCAGAGAUUUCAUACAUAAUAAAAGAUAUAUGCUGAAAUACAUCUACUCUAACUCUCCUGGAUGAAGCACUUACAAUUUUUUUAAAUGAUGGCCUUAAAUACUUUUACAAAAGUUUUUGCUCUCUCCCUUAAUCUUCAAAAGCCUGAGAGUGAAGUAGUUUAAGAGGAAGAACCAUAAUGAAAGAGAAAUUUGUGAUACUUACAUUGUAUCUCCUACGAACUGUUAAAUGAGGAAAGUGGGUCUCCCCACAAAUGCUCCUAGAACCUGGGGAAGCAGAGCAAUACAGGGUCUCAGCAGCAGAGGUGUGAAGAGUGGUCCUGAGUUUCUGUCGCUGCAG